UACGUAGGGUGCAAGCGUUGUCCGGAAUUAUUGGGCGUAAAGAGCUCGUAGGCGGUCUGUCGCGUCAGUUGUGAAAUCUCCGGGCUUAACCCGGAAAGGUCAACUGAUACUGUGCGACUAGAGUGCGGAAGGGGCAACUGGAAUUCUCGGUGUAGCGGUGAAAUGCGUAGAUAUCGAGAGGAACACCUGCGGCGAAGGCGGGUUGCUGGGCCGACACUGACGCUGAUGCGCGAAAGCCAGGGGAGCGAACGGG
rnacentral:rRNA from 1 species